GUACUCCUUCGUUUCUCCACCAAAUCGAUCGAGUAAGGCACCAGGAGCCCGACAUAAUUAUAAAAGAGAUCUUCGAGGGAUCGAAGUAGCUCGGACCAUCUGUUGUAGAAGUGCAUAGGAUCCACCACCGGGCCACUCUUAA